AGGGCAUGGUGUGGAAACUUCUUAAAUAAUUCUUUAGAUCUCUCCCAAGAAUCAAAAAAGGAUUCCCCAUCUAAUUGGGUAAAUAAGGUGAUAUCAUUUGUAAGAUU